ACCCGCUGAACUUAAGCAUAUCAAUAAGCGGAGGAAAAGAAACCAACAGGGAUUGCCCCAGUAACGGCGAGUGAAGCGGCAACAGCUCAAAUUUGAAAUCUGGCCCCCCGCGGGCCCGAGUUGUACUUUGGAGAGGACGCUUCUGGCGCGGCGCCGGCCGAGUGCCCUGGAACGGGCCGCCGGAGAGGGUGAGAGCCCCGUACGGCCGGCCGCCUAGCCUCUGCGAAGCUCCUUCGACGAGUCGAGUAGUUUGGGAAUGCUGCUCAAAAUGGGAGGUAAAUUUCUUCUAAAGCUAAAUACCGGCCAGAGACCGAUAGCGCACAAGUAGAGUGAUCGAAAGAUGAAAAGCACUUUGAAAAGAGGGUUAAACAGUACGUGAAAUUGCUGAAAGGGAAGCGCCUGUGGCCAGACUUGCGCCCCGCGGACCACCCGGCGCCCGCGCCGGGGCACGCCGCGGGGCGCAGGCCAGCAUCGGCUCUCCCAGGGGGACAAAGGCCGCGGGAACGUAGCGCCCUCGGGCGUGUUACAGCCCGCGGCGCCAUGCCCCUGGGGGGGCCGAGGACCGCGCUCCGGCAAGGAUGCUGGCGUAAUGGCCACCGGCGACCCGUCUUGAAACACGGACCAAGGAGUCAAGCAGUGGGGCGAGUGUCUGGGUGGCAAACCCGCACGCGGAAUGAAAGUGAACGCAGGUGGGAGCUUCGGCGCACCACCGACCGAUCCUGAUGUCUUCGGAUGGAUUUGAGUAGGAGCCUUGCCGCUUGGACCCGAAAGAUGGUGAACUAUGCCUGUAUAGGGUGAAGCCAGAGGAAACUCUGGUGGAGGCUCGCAGCGGUUCUGACGUGCAAAUCGAUCGUCAAAUAUGGGCAUGGGGGCGAAAGACUAAUCGAACCAUCUAGUAGCUGGUUACCGCCGAAGUUUCCCUCAGGAUAGCAGUGUUGUUCUUCAGUUUUAUGAGGUAAAGCGAAUGAUUAGGGACUCGGGGGCGCCUAUUAGCCUUCAUCCAUUCUCAAACUUUAAAUAUGUAAGAAGCCCUUGUUGCUCCGGUGAACGUGGGCCUUCGAAUGCACCAACACUAGUGGGCCAUUUUUGGUAAGCAGAACUGGCGAUGCGGGAUGAACCGAACGCGGGGUUAAGGUGCCAGAGUGGACGCUCAUCAGACACCACAAAAGGCGUUAGUACAUCUUGACAGCAGGACGGUGGCCAUGGAAGUCGGAAUCCGCUAAGGACUGUGUAACAACUCACCUGCCGAAUGUACUAGCCCUGAAAAUGGAUGGCGCUCAAGCGUCCCACCCAUACCCCGCCCUCCGGGCAGAAGCCAGGCCCGGAGGAGUAGGCGGCCGUGGGGGUCCGUGACGAAGCCCAGGGCGCGAGCCCGGGUCGAACGGCCCCCAGUGCAGAUCUUGGUGGUAG
rnacentral:rRNA from 1 species